ensembl:piRNA 21ur-13487 ncRNA
UAUUAUAGUUGGUUUGGGUUU